CCUACGGGUGGCAGCAGUGGGGAAUAUUGGGCAAUGGAGGCAACUCUGACCCAGCAAUGCCGCGUGAAUGAAGAAGGUCUUCGGAUUGUAAAGUUCUUUAAUCAGGGACGAAGGAAAUGACGGUACCUGAGGAAUAAGCCACGGCAAACUAUGUGCCAGCAGCCGCGGUAAUACAUAGGUGGCAAGCGUUGUCCGGAAUGACUGGGCGUAAAGGGAACGUAGGCGGUCUGUUAAGGUGGAAGUGAAAUCCCGGGGCUCAACCCCGGAACGGGUUCCAAGAAUGACGGACGUGAGUGUAAGAGGGGUAUGCGGAAUUCCUAGUGUAGAGGUGGAAUGCGUAGAUAUUAGGAGGAACAACA
rnacentral:rRNA from 1 species